rnacentral:rRNA from 1 species
AUGGGCGCAGCCUGAUGCAGCGACGCCGCGUGAGGGAUGACGGCCUUCGGGUUGUAAACCUCUGUUAGCAUCGAAGAAGCGAAAGUGACGGUAGGUGCAGAGAAAGCGCCGGCUAACUACGUGCCAGCAGCCGCGGUAAUACGUAGGGCGCGAGCGUUGUCCGGAAUUAUUGGGCGUAAAGAGCUUGUAGGCGGUUGGUCGCGUCUGCUGUGAAAGGCUGGGGCUUAACCCUGGUUUUGCAGUGGGUACGGGCUAACUAGAGUGCAGUAGGGGAGACUGGAAUUCCUGGUGUAGCGGUGGAAUGCGCUGAUAUCAGGAGGAACACCGGUGGCGAAGGCAGGUCUCUGGGCUGUAACUGACGCUGAGAAGCGAAAGCAUGGGGAGCGAACAGGAUUAGAUACCCUGGUAGUCCAUGCCGUAAACGUUGGGCACUAGGUGUGGGGGACAUUCCACGUUUUCCGCGCCGUAGCUAACGCAUUAAGUGCCCCGCCUGGGGAGUACGGCCGCAAGGCUAAAACUCAAAGAAAUUGACGGGGGCCCGCACAAGCGGCGGAGCAUGCGGAUUAAUUCGAUGCAACGCGAAGAACCUUACCAAGGCUUGACAUAUACUGGACUGCGUCAGA